AAACAGUUGUCUCUCUCUCUCUCUCUCUCUCUCUCUCUCUCUCUCUCUCUCUCUCUCUCUGUGUGGAUCAAAUGAGUCCCAAAUAGUUGAGGGGAAUGCUGUCUGGUUCGAGACCAUUCCUUUGAAGCAAGGAACAUGAUCAUCCGAAUGAUCUCGGACCAGGCUUCAUUCCCCCAACACAAAACAAGCCUGCAAUACAUUCCUUCUUACCGACCAUUGAUCAUAUGUACACCCUUUUAUGCAUCAUAGAUCAAUGUCCUGAUGCCGAGAGCUUUCGACAAUCUUGUUCCAUUUCAACAUGUAAGUAUAUAUUGUAUAUCUGUCCUUUUCUUUUUAACAUUUGGAUUAUCAUUCAAUGUUUACUUUCCUCCAUCCAUUCAUUUACAGCCAAAAAUGGGAUUUGAAGAAAAAUGAGAACAAUGAAACAAAAUGAGAAGAUUUUCAGUCCGGACAGGUAAUCACAGAUUCACAGGCCUUAUAGUUUUUACUUUAAAGCAAACUCAACCAAGAAUCGCUCACUUCUUUUAAUGAGGAGAAGAAAUUAAAGUAGGACUAAUUUCUUCUGGUUUACAUCUAGUCCAUUAAAGCAUAUGAGAAUUAGUCUAACAUCUAUUACAUCCAUUAUUUGUAGGUCUAAAUGUUUGACCAAUUGGAUGAUGAGACAAACCAAAAUAAAAAAUAAAAAAACUAUUUUCAUCUGGGUUUGUUUUCAAAUGCAACCCUUGUGCAUAUUCUAUAUGUUUCUACUAAGUCCGUUGAAAAACAGUGAUAGGGGCUUGUGUGAAAAUAUGACUGAAUGAAAAGGAAGAAAUAAAAACAAAGUUGUGUUUGUGUUUGUGUAUGUGAAUGUAUCAUCUUUUUUGGGGUUGAACUUUUCUGCCAAUUUGGCUUUGCUUGUGGGGAGUUGCAAAGAAUAUAAGCCAAGGGAGAGCUUUCACUUUAUGUGUUGCAUGAAGAUGAGCUUUGAAUUCACUCCUUUUUUCACCUUAUGACUGCCAUCAUCAUAACCCAGCUCCUUAUAGUCUUACCCCAUAUAAUAUAUUCCUCCCUUUUGAUAAAAUCCCAUGUGGGUCAGAUCCCACUUCUGCAUGAAAAAACUAACACUGUAACUGUGGUUACUUAAGACCAUUAAUUCUUGUAAUCGAAAUCUUAAAUUCAAUUCCUUUUUUUUAAUACCGCUUGUAUCAACAAAGAAAAAGAAAAAUCAACACUAAAUUAGCCUAAGCCCCCACCACAUAAUAACUAUUUGUCCCAUAUUCCAUGUGGUUUUAUUUAAUGCCCUUACAAGUACUAAUGUAUCUACUUGAAUCUGUACUCAUAUGUUUCUGAAAAUGGGAAUGCUACAUAAAGUUAUGCAGUAAAAUCUUAGGUUUCGGUAGGGGCCUGAUCAGAGAUGGCUUAUGAGCCUCAUGAAUUAAUGUGGAAACUGUUUGCUAUAGUAUAUGAGGGGCCAUAUCCAUGCUUCAUACAGUCCUGAGGAGGAGGGUGCCAGUGAAGCACUCAAUGUGUGGGCUAAUUGUCAAAAAAUAAUCCAUUAAAAAAGAACAAUUGUCAAACAGAAUAGUUGUUCUCCUGAAUUAGCAUCUUACUGCUCUACUAAUCUUAGUGGAAAAUUUAUUUACUUCAAGCACAUUGCGCCGGAUUCGUUCAUAAAAGUAAACGUGAAA
rnacentral:lncRNA from 1 species